rnacentral:rRNA from 2 species
GGGGGAAACCCUGAUGCAGCAACGCCGCGUGAAUGAUGAAGGCCUUCGGGUCGUAAAGUUCUUUGAUUGGGGACGAUAAUGACGGUACCCAAAAAACAAGCCACGGCUAACUACGUGCCAGCAGCCGCGGUAAUACGUAGGUGGCGAGCGUUGUCCGGAUUUACUGGGCGUAAAGGAUGCGUAGGUGGAAAUUUAAGUGGGAUGUGAAAUCCCCGGGCUCAACCCGGGAACUGCAUUCCAAACUGGGUUUCUUGAGUGCAGGAGAGGAAAGCGGAAUUCCUAGUGUAGCGGUGAAAUGCGUAGAUAUUAGGAAGAACACCAGUGGCGAAGGCGGCUUUCUGGACUGUAACUGACACUGAGGCAUGAAAGCGUGGGGAGCAAACAGGAUUAGAUACCCUGGUAGUCCACGCCGUAAACGAUGGGUACUAGGUGUAGGGGGUAUCAACUCCCCCUGUGCCGUCGUUAACACAAUAAGUACCCCGCCUGGGGAGUACGGUCGCAAGAUU